UACGUAGGGGUCUAGCGUUGUCCGGAAUCAUUGGGCGUAAAGAGCUCGUAGGCGGUUCGGCAAGUCGGAUGUGAAAUCUCCACGCUCAACGUGGAGGGGCCAUUCGAAACUGCCGUGACUCGAGUCCGGUAGGGGAGUGCGGAAUUCCCGGUGUAGCGGUGAAAUGCGCAGAUAUCGGGAGGAACACCAGUGGCGAAGGCGGCACUCUGGGCCGGAACUGACGCUGAGGGGCGAAAGCGUGGGGAGCGAACAGG
rnacentral:rRNA from 1 species